UACGUAGGGUGCAAGCGUUGUCCGGAAUUAUUGGGCGUAAAGAGCUCGUAGGCGGUCUGUUGCGUCGGCUGUGAAAACCCGGGGCUCAACUCCGGGCCUGCAGCCGAUACGGGCAGACUAGAGUUCGGCAGGGGAGACUGGAAUUUCUGGUGUAGCGGUGAAAUGCGCAGAUAUCAGGAGGAACACUGGUGGCGAAGGCGGGUCUCUGGGCCGAUACUGACGCUGAGGAGCGAAAGCGUGGGGAGCGAACAGG
rnacentral:rRNA from 1 species